UACGGAGGAUGCAAGCGUUAUCCGGAAUGAUUGGGCGUAAAGGGUCCGCAGGUGGCUGUGUAAGUCUGCUGUUAAAGAGUCUAGCUCAACUAGAUACAAGCAGUGGAAACUACACGGCUAGAGUACGUUCGGGGCAGAGGGAAUUCCUGGUGUAGCGGUGAAAUGCGUAGAGAUCAGGAAGAACACCGGUGGCGAAGGCGCUCUGCUAGGCCGUAACUGACACUGAGGGACGAAAGCUAGGGGAGCGAAUGGG
rnacentral:rRNA from 1 species